rnacentral:tRNA from 1 species
GCAUCGGUGGUUCAGUGGUAGAAUGCUCGCCUGCCACGCGGCGGCCCGGGUUCGAUUCCUUCCCGGCCGAUGCA